GUCUGUGCGCACAGAAAGUGGAUGCUGUUUGAGAACUAGUCCAGGGGAGAUGCAGCAAGAACCAGUGCUCAGAAUCGUGCUGCUGAGAUGUCUGGUGAGGGCACUGCUGUCUCCCCCUCAUCUGGGAGCGGAUGCCACAGCGUGUACCCCUGACAUGAGCACCGGAUGCUGUGUUGCCAUAACUCUGAAGCAAGAUUUUGAAGGUGUGCUGCUAUCCCCGCCAGGUAAAAACAAAUGACUUCUGGAUUCUCAGCCUAUUGGGACAGAGAAUGAAGCAUUUGCCAGGGGCUGUGUUGAUUUUCCCCAAUAAAGAAUCACCUGGGAUAGCA